rnacentral:rRNA from 1 species
AGAGUUUGAUCCUGGCUCAGGAUGAACGCUAGCGGCAGGCCUAACACAUGCAAGUCGAGGGGUAUAGGAAGCUUGCUUCCUAGAGACCGGCGCACGGGUGCGUAACGCGUAUGCAAUCUACCUUAUACAGAGGGAUAGCCCAGAGAAAUUUGGAUUAAUACCUCAUAGUAUUAUUGAAUGGCAUCAUUUAAUAAUUAAAGUCACAACGGUAUAAGAUGAGCAUGCGUCCCAUUAGUUAGUUGGUAAGGUAACGGCUUACCAAGACAAUGAUGGGUAGGGGUCCUGAGAGGGAGAUCCCCCACACUGGUACUGAGACACGGACCAGACUCCUACGGGAGGCAGCAGUGAGGAAUAUUGGUCAAUGGGCGCAAGCCUGAACCAGCCAUGCCGCGUGCAGGAUGACGGUCCUAUGGAUUGUAAACUGCUUUUAUAUAGGAAGAAACACUCCCUCGUGAGGGAGCUUGACGGUACUGUAGGAAUAAGGAUCGGCUAACUCCGUGCCAGCAGCCGCGGUAAUACGGAGGAUCCAAGCGUUAUCCGGAAUCAUUGGGUUUAAAGGGUCCGUAGGCGGUUUGAUAAGUCAGUGGUGAAAGCCCAUCGCUCAACGAUGGAACGGCCAUUGAUACUGUCAGACUUGAAUUAGUGGGAAGUAACUAGAAUAUGUAGUGUAGCGGUGAAAUGCUUAGAUAUUACAUGGAAUACCAAUUGCGAAGGCAGGUUACUAUCACUAUAUUGACGCUGAUGGACGAAAGCGUGGGGAGCGAACAGGAUUAGAUACCCUGGUAGUCCACGCCGUAAACGAUGGAUACUAGCUGUUCGGAGUAAUCUGAGUGGCUAAGCGAAAGUGAUAAGUAUCCCACCUGGGGAGUACGUUCGCAAGAAUGAAACUCAAAUGAAUUGACGG